rfam:Triticum aestivum genome assembly, contig: Triticum_aestivum_CS42_TGACv1_scaffold_621699_7DS
UUAGUACUCCCUCCGUCCGAAAAUACUUGUCAUACAAAUGAAUGUAUCUAGAUGUAUUUUAGUUUUAAAUAUAUCCAUUUUCAUUCAUUUUGAUGACAAGCAAUUCUGGACAGAGGGAGUAGCCA